ACCUGGGUGGCUCAGUUGGUUAAGCAUCUGACUUCGGCUCAGGUCAUGGUCUUGCAAUUUAGGGUUCAAGUCCCUCAUCGGGCU
rnacentral:tRNA from 1 species